rnacentral:lncRNA from 1 species
AGACCCCUCACCAGCCAUGAGGCUCGUCCUGUUACUCCCAGUCCUGUUGGUGGCUCUGUGGAUGGUGUGUGAAGGACCAUCCUGGGUCCAGGCGGUCCCUGAGCCAGCCGGCAUCUUGGAUGCCCUCCCGGACACUGUGAAGAAGAUUGCACACACCCUGGGGAACAAGGACCAGGGAGUCCCUGACAAGCUGAAAAAGAAGGACUCUGCUUCAGUCACCCGGAAAGUGGCGGCAAAUACAACCAAAAAUAUUCCAGUUAAAAUAGAUCUCAUUCCCGUCCACAGAAGCAGGUUGCCCCUCUUACCCUUCAAUCCUAGCCGCAUCCACCUGCCGCCCCUCCAACCAAGCAGGAUCCAUUCGCGACGCCCCCACCCAAGCAGGAUCCACCCGCCACGCCUCCACUCAAGCAGGAUCUACCCGCUAUGUCCCCACUCAGGCUGGAUACACCCCUUGUUUCCAGGGCUGUGUCCCAGACAGAGGCCCAGACAAAGGCUCUGA